AUGAAGGUAAAUGUUGUGGGACAGGGUGAUUUAAAACUAGCUGAUAAUUCUGCCUCCCCAGACUGCCAUGCCCUUGGGAAGGAGAGGAGCACACGUGCAGCUGACGGAUCUCUGACGCUAAUCAAGGACCCAGCUCAAAUGAGUGACCUGCAUGCAAAUCCCGCAGCCCUUCAUCGAGCGGUUGUUCAGACCUCAGCCCUUCAGAUCCCAUUCGAAUCCCAGUGCGACGGCAGUGUGUUUAGUUAUUCUGGUCAAACCUCCCCGCCGCUCCUGGCUGUUUUGUCCUUGCUGUGCUGAAAUAAACCUGCUCGAGGGCUCCAGCCCUAUUAUGAGGACAAAAGGACAUCAGACGUGCUGCUACUGAAAGGAAAUGUGUCUUGGUUUUGAAGUGUAAUGCAGAAUGGGUGACUUAAAAAUUCCUGAAGUGGCUUUCUCUGUUCAAAAGGCAUCUUUCUGGAUUAUUUCUUUUUUUUUAACUUCCUGAAACGUAGCUUGUGGCAUUGACUUUGGGGUGAGGAUACACGCUGAUGCUGAGAGGAUUAAUACUGAAUGUGAGAAUCGGUGGAUGGCAAUAAACAGCCAAUUCUCAGGGAAAUUAUUUUCUGAAUCAGAAUAUUUAACACAUUGAGACUUGUGGGCUUUUUCCUCGUUUUAAAGGGGCACUGUGAAUGCAUACUAGAAAGUCUCUGUGUUACUACCAACACUUUAAUUUAUGAUUAACUUGGAAUAUUUUUACAUCUCAUUUAUUCCUUCCACGGGGGUGUUCUGAGCCGCUGAAAUUACUUGGUCAGCUUCACUUUCUCAGUUUUGUUUGUUAGGGUAGUGCCAUGAGUGGAUUUUGGGUGGGAGCUCAGGACUUCAGAAAAUAAAAGGGGGGGGGGUUCAGUCUCGAGGGGUCUUAAAGCCCUUUUGUUCUCUUUGGCACAAAACAGAUGUCUUUGCAUUCCUCUGAUGUCACUGUAUAAUGUCUAGAGCUUAAAAUGUCCUUCAUAAAGCUGUCAAUAUUCCCUUAAGAAUCUGUUGCUAUAGGGAGAAGACCAACAGCAUAACUCUGCUCAGUCUGUUUUGAUCUAGUGGUGCUGAAAGCCGACCCUAUAUCAC
rnacentral:lncRNA from 1 species